rnacentral:rRNA from 1 species
UACCAGCUCUCCGAGUUGUAGGGAUGAUUAUUGGGCUUAAAGCGUCCGUAGCUGGCUUAGCAAGUCUCCUGUUAAAUUCAGCGACCUAAUCGUUGAGCCGCGGGAGAUACUACUAGGCUAGGAGGCGGGAGAGGUCGACGGUACUUUCGGGGUAGGGGCGAAAUCCUAUAAUCCCGGGAGGACCACCAGUGGCGAAGGCUGUCGACUAGAACGCGCUCGACGGUGAGGGACGAAAGCUGGGGGAGCGAACCGGAUUAGAUACCCGGGUAGUCCCAGCUGUAAACUAUGCGGGCUAGGUGUUGGGGUGGCUACGGGCCACUUCAGUGCCGCAGGAAAGCCAUUAAGCCCGCCGCCUGGGGAGUACGGCCGCAAGGCUGAAACUUAAAGGAAUUGGCGGGGGAGCACCACAAGGCGUGAAGCUUGCGGUUC